GACGAACGCUGGCGGCGUGCUUAACACAUGCAAGUCGAACGGAAAGGCCCUGCUUUUGUGGGGUGCUCGAGUGGCGAACGGGUGAGUAACACGUGAGUAACCUGCCCUUGACUUUGGGAUAACUUCAGGAAACUGGGGCUAAUACCGGAUAGGAGCUCCUGCUGCAUGGUGGGGGUUGGAAAGUUUCGGCGGUUGGGGAUGGACUCGCGGCUUAUCAGCUUGUUUGUGGGGUUGUGGCUUACCAAGGCUUUGGCGGGUCGCCGGCCUGAGAGGGUGACCGGCCACAUUGGGACUGAGAUACGGCCCAGACUCCUACGGGAGGCAGCAGUGGGGAAUAGUGCACAAUGGGCGGAAGCCUGAUGCAGCAACGCCGCGUGCGGGAUAACGGCCUGCGGGUUGUAAACCGCUUUCGCCUGUGACGAAGCGUGAGUGACGGUAAUGGGUAAAGAAGCACCGGCUAACUACGUG
rnacentral:rRNA from 1 species